rnacentral:RNase_P_RNA from 1 species
UGAGUAAGUUAGAUGAUCGCUGCCUCGAAAGAGGGAGAGGAAAGUCCGAGCUCCGUAGGGCAGGAUGCCGGGUAAUACCCGGUGGAGGCGACUCCAAGGAAAGUGCAACAGAGAUAUACCGCCAUAAUCUUUCUCCGGCUUUCAUCAUUGAAAAAUGCUGGAGUUGGAUGAAUGCAGUUUCCAUUUAAACUGCGUGGCAAGGGUGGAAAGGUGAGGUAAGAGCUCACCAGCAGUUAGGCGACUAACUGGCUCUGUAAACCCCAUCUGGAGCAAGACCAAAUAGAAGAGCAUUUAUGUACUGGCCCGGUACGCUCUUGGGUAGUGUCGCUUGAGCUAACUGGCAACAGUUAGCCUAGAUAGAUGAUCAUCCACGACAGAACUCGGCUUAUAGACUUACUCAUAUG